AAAACGACUUAUCAAAACAAACAUUUUCUUCAAACUAAUAUUGGUUUAAAAUAUAGUUAAUCUAUGUGCGUGUACUUCGUUGUCGGCCUGUCUGUUAUAUGUGAACUCCGCGACAUUUCUGUCUGUCGUGUCGCUUCCUACAAGUGUGAAUCGGGCUUUACAUGUGAUGUUUAGCAGUUUAAAUUGAAAUUAUACAGGGUGUUUAACAUAACGUAUGGCACUCGUUAU